GACGAACGCUGGCGGCGUGCUUAACACAUGCAAGUCGAGCGGAGCGGCGAACGGGUGAGUAACGCGUGAGUAACUACCCCCCUCUCUGGGAGAACAGUUGGAAACGGCUGCUAAUAACCGAUAGUGGGGGAUGACUCGCGUCCUAUCAGCUUGUUGGUGGGGUAGUGGCCUACCAAGGCGACGACGGGAAGCCGGACUGGGAGGGCGACCGGCCACAUUGGGCUGAGAUACGGCCCAAAGUCCUACGGUGGGCAGCAGUGGGAAAUAUUGCACAAUGGGGGAAACCCUGAUGCAGCAACGCGCGUGCGGGAUGACGGCCUUCGGGUUGUAAACCGCUUUCAGCCAUGACGCGGUAGUGGCAGAAGAAGCACCGGCUAACUACGUGCCAGCCGCCGCGGUAAUAC
rnacentral:rRNA from 1 species